ACUACCGUUUUGGCCGAAUUAUCCGAGGGACGAAAGGGUGGACAAGGCUGUCAGAAGCGCCGAACAACCUGGACCAGACUGGCAGACACGUGACGUCAGAGUAAUUGGAUCAUGCGAUAAUUACUUGGUGGAAAUAUGUCUUGAGACACAUCAGAUCUCCAGUCAGAAGAGGAGGCAAUUCCUAAAAAGAGGAAGCCAAUGCCGGUCCAUUUCUAUGGAGACUCGGAUGGAGACAGUGAAAAUGAAAAUUCCCCCCACAAAACAGGGGUCCAACCACUAGCGGGACAGUUGUCCCUCCAAUCAUUGCCUCCUCCUAACUAUUCCAUGUACUCCAUAACCAGCAGGACAGCGAACACGCCAGGGGGACACGCCCACCUGGCGAGGGGUGUGGUGUGGUUCAGACACCAUUGCCUGCUGUGCUGUUCCAGUUCAAAUCCUAGGCAUGCUGGAGACAAUUACAGAGGUGAGAGACCCGGUUCCGUUUCCGUGUACCACAAUGGAGGAAGUGGACCUUUUUGAGCAACGGCUCAAAGAUCCCGUCAACAUUCUAAUGAGUGACGACAUGAUGCCAAACGUGGAACAUCCUCGAAUGAAUGGAAAAAAAUUAUUCUGUCAAAUGACAUCUAAGACUUUGCUCCUGCAUGCCGUCAGAAAGAAUCAUGCCACACAUGCAUCCACUGAUGAACAGAUUCUAAAGCAUGCCAUUAGGUGGUUCAACCUGGCAGCAAACCGGGGUAGCUCCAGGAGGCGUGCUACUGUCGA